GAUGAACGCUGGCGGCGUGCUUAACACAUGCAAGUCGAGCGAGAAGUUUUGAAAAGAUUCUUCGGAUGAAAUUUAAAAUGGAAAGCGGCGGACGGGUGAGUAACGCGUAGGCAACCUGCCCCAUACAAAGGGAUAGCAUUUGGAAACGAAUAUUAAUACCUUAUGAAACUUAACUAGUGCAUGCUAGGUAGGUCAAAGAUUUAUCGGUAUGGGAUGGGCCUGCGUCUGAUUAGCUAGUUGGUGAGGUAACGGCUCACCAAGGCGACGAUCAGUAGCCGACCUGAGAGGGUGAACGGCCACAUUGGAACUGAGACACGGUCCAAACUCCUACGGGAGGCAGCAGUGGGGAAUAUUGCACAAUGGGGGAAACCCUGAUGCAGCAACGCCGCGUGAACGAUGAAGGCCUUUGGGGCGUAAAGUUCUGUUCUAGGUGAUGAAAACUGACAGUAACCUAGGAGAAAGCCCCGGCUAACUCCGUG
rnacentral:rRNA from 1 species